GGGCCCGUAGCUCAGCCCGGUAGAGCGGCGGGCUCUUAACCCGUAGGUCCCGGGUUCAAAUCCCGGCGGGCCCGCCA
rnacentral:tRNA from 1 species